AGAGUUUGAUCCUGGCUCAGGAUGAACGCUAGCGGCAGGCCUAAUACAUGCAAGUUGAGGGGUAACAGGGUAGCAAUACUGCUGACGACCGGCGCACGGGUGCGUAACGCGUAUGCAACCUACCUUUAACUGGGGGAUAGCCCCGAGAAAUCGGGAUUAAUACCGCAUAACACUGUGAUAUGGCAUCAUAUUACAGUUAAAACUCCGGUGGUUAAAGAUGGGCAUGCGUGACAUUAGUUAGUUGGUAGGGUAACGGCUUACCAAGACUACGAUGUCUAGGGGUUCUGAGAGGAUGAUCCCCCACACUGGUACUGAGACACGGACCAGACUCCUACGGGAGGCAGCAGUAAGGAAUAUUGGUCAAUGGACGCAAGUCUGAACCAGCCAUGCCGCGUGCAGGAAGACGGCCCUAUGGGUUGUAAACUGCUUUUAUAUAGGAAUAAACUCAUGUUCGUGAACAUGACUGAAGGUACUAUAAGAAUAAGGACCGGCUAACUCCGUGCCAGCAGCCGCGGUAAUACGGAGGGUCCAAGCGUUAUCCGGAUUUAUUGGGUUUAAAGGGUGCGCAGGCGGACCUAUUAGUCAGUGGUGAAAUCUCGGGGCUCAACUCCGAAACUGCCAUUGAUACUGUAGGUCUUGAGUUUGGUUGAAGUGGGCGGAAUGUAGCAUGUAGCGGUGAAAUGCAUAGAUAUGCUACAGAACACCGAUCGCGAAGGCAGCUCACUAAGCCAAAACUGACGCUCAGGCACGAAAGCGUGGGUAGCGAACAGGAUUAGAUACCCUGGUAGUCCACGCCGUAAACGAUGAUCACUCGUUGUUGGCGGCACAUUGUCAGUGACCAAGCGAAAGCGAUAAGUGAUCCACCUGGGGAGUACGUUCGCAAGAAUGAAACUCAAAGGAAUUGACGGGGGCCCGCACAAGCGGUGGAGCAUGUGGUUUAAUUCGAUGAUACGCGAGGAACCUUACCUGGGCUCAAAUGUAAGUUGACAGGUCCUGAAAGGGAUUUUUCUUCGGACAAUUUACAAGGUGCUGCAUGGUUGUCGUCAGCUCGUGCCGUGAGGUGUCGGGUUAAGUCCCAUAACGAGCGCAACCCCUAUUCUUAGUUGCCAUCAGGUCAUGCUGGGGACUCUAGGAAAACUGCCUACGCAAGUAGAGAGGAAGGUGGGGAUGACGUCAAAUCAGCACGGCCCUUACGUCCAGGGCUACACACGUGCUACAAUGGCCGGUACAGAGGGCAGCCAUCCCGCGAGGGAGAGCGAAUCUCGAAAGCCGGUCUCAGUUCGGAUCGAAGUCUGCAACCCGACUUCGUGAAGCUGGAAUCGCUAGUAAUCGCGCAUCAGCCAUGGCGCGGUGAAUACGUUCCCGGGCCUUGUACACACCGCCCGUCAAGCCAUGGAAGCUGGGGGUACCUGAAGUCGGUAACCGUAAGGAGCUGCCUAGGGUAAAACUAGUGACUGGGGCUAAGUCGUAACAAGGUA
rnacentral:rRNA from 1 species